rfam:Candidatus Aminicenantes bacterium RBG_16_63_16 RBG_16_scaffold_218, whole genome shotgun sequence.
GGGGGCGAACGGAUUCGACGGGGAUAGUGAGGCAGAGGCUGCAUGUCGAGAUUCCAUCCACCUCGUAAAACGGUGGGCCCAAGUAAGUGCAGAAACACUGCCAGUUGCUGCCUAAGAGAUAGGCAUGCCGUUCCUCAGGUUCUCUCCUGCGGUUCCUGGGGAGCGUCGACCAGCAGGAUAGCGAGCCCGGUGCGCCCUGAGCCUGGUGAGUGAAAUGCUUCGAGGGCUGGUUUUGCGGUGCUUCUCCUCUUCGAGCGCCGCCGAACGAGAUCAAGGAAGAGGAUACGCAUGUAGAUGCUUCUUGCUGAAUGUCUCCGGACGCGGGUUCGAUUCCCGCCGCCUCCACCA